GGCAAGAUGGCCGAGUGGUUAAGGCGCAGCGUUCAGGCCGCUGUCUUCGGGCGUGGGUUCGAAUCCCACUCUUGUCA
rnacentral:tRNA from 1 species